ensembl:antisense Gm43691 predicted gene 43691
UGUGUGCUUGGCAUUUCUGAGGGCACAUGAGACAGCAGGUGGAAAUGCCUUGGCAUGGCAGAAUCUGGAGGAUCUCUUCUCUCCUCGAAGUCCGGAGGUGCUGGAUGAAGGCCAGGAAGCUCUGGACAGCCUCGGCCUUGGACAGGUUUUCAGGCUCCAGGUUCUUUCUGAUGGACUUCCAGUGCUCCGCCAGCUGCAAAGCACAGCCCCGGGUGCAAGCCCCUUAGUUCUGAGCUCCGGGCUUACGAAAAGCCGCUAAUACGUAGGACUGCUUCCUCUUGGGGGAGGGGGUGGGGGGCACGCUAUAGCUGCUCGACCUUGGACCAUUAGCCAUCUGAGGUUUGGAUGUGUGGGUCCAGCAAUGACUGUGUUGUGACAAGCACACCCGAGGCCAGGCUUUGAGCACACUAGGGGAAGUGUGCGGAAGUUUCAUUAACAGCUGGGGACUUGGUGUUUGGGAAAGGCAAAGUGAGACCUGCCAGAGUCGUACUGCUUUCUAACUUGCUCGGACCUCAUUGCAAAUCAAAGUUUCAAACCUUCUGAGCUCCCUACUCUUCUUACGGCACUGCUUCUGUGGAAUCCAAUGCCGCGCUGUUGCUGGGAUCUCAACUGUUCAGAGUUUGUAUCUAUG